GAUCCUGGCUCAGGAUGAACGCUAGCUACAGGCUUAACACAUGCGCCGGUCGUCAUCCUGGUAGAGCUUGCUCUUCCAGGAUGACGACCGGCGCACGGGUGAGUAACGCGUAUCCAACCUGGCCCAUACCACGGGAUAGCCCGUCGAAAGGCGGAUUAAUACCGUAUGCUGUCAUUAAGAUGCAUAUAUUGAUGACGAAAGGACUGGCGGUAUGGGAUGGGGAUGCGUCUGAUUAGCUUGUUGGCGGGGUAACGGCCCACCAAGGCGACGAUCAGUAGGGGUUCUGAGAGGAAGGUCCCCCACAUUGGAACUGAGACACGGUCCAAACUCCUACGGGAGGCAGCAGUGAGGAAUAUUGGUCAAUGGGCGCAAGCCUGAACCAGCCAAGUAGCGUGAGGGAAGACUGCCCUACGGGUUGUAAACCUCUUUUGUUUGGGAAUAAAGUGCGGGACGUGUCCCGCAUUGCAUGUACCAUUUGAAUAAGGACCGGCUAAUUCCGUG
rnacentral:rRNA from 1 species